rnacentral:lncRNA from 1 species
AAUAUAGUCUUGGAAUUAAGUUAAAACUAAAAUAAUUAGACUUAGAAAGUUGUCAAGUUGGUUAAUAAGUUAAAUCGGUGAAUAUAUUAUUGGAAUUAAGUUAAAAACUAAACUAAUUAGACUUAGAAAGUUGUUAAGUUGUUUAAUAAGUUAAAUUGAUGAAUAAAGUGUAAGAACUAAGUUAAAACUAAACAAAUUAAUUAGAUUCAGAAAGUUGUUAAGUUCUUCAAAUAAGCUAAUGUGAUUUAGUUGGUUAAUAUAGUGUUGAAAUUAAGUUAAAACUAAACUAAUUAGACUUAGAAAGUUGUAAGUUCUUCAAAUAAGUUAAUAUCAUUUACUUGGUUAAUACAGUGUUGGAAUUAAGUUAAAACUAAACUUAAUAGACUUAGAAAAUUGUUAAGUUCUUCAAAAGUUAAUGUGAUUUAGUUUGUUAAUAUAGUGUUAGAAUUAAGUUAAAACUAAACUGAUUAGACUUAGAAAGUUGAUAAGUUCUUCAAAUAAGUUAAUGUGAUUUAGUUGGUUAAUAUACUGUUGGAAUUAAGUUAAAACUAAACUAAUUAGACUUAAAAAGUUGUUAAGUUCUUCAAAUAAGAAAUGUACUUAGUUGGUUAAUAUAGUGUUGGAAUUAAGUUAAAGAAAGCAGAGAAUAAGAGGUAUGUAGCGCUUCAAGCCCAACUAACUUUUCUUUUUGAAUCAGGAAAUAUUCUUCCUCCAUGUCCGGCAAGCAGUGGUGAUGGAGCUGAUGAUGAGAAUGAUAAGGGUGAUAAGGAGAGUGAGGAUGAUAAAGAGUAGUUGUAUUGGUUUGACAUUUUAGACUUCUAUAUUUUUAGAAUUGUUUGAUCGUAAUUUAGUUUAUUUUGAAGGUUUAUUUCAAAAUAGUUUUGUGUAUACGUUGAAAAUAUUGUGUUGUUUUGAUUGGAUGAAGUUUAUUUAAAAAAAGCUCAUUCGACAUUCUUUGGGUUGGAUGAAGAUUAUUUUGAAAUAGCUUAAAGCUUAUUUGGAACUCUUUGGGUUGUUUUGAUAUAAAUAAGCAGGUGGGAUACUAAAAUUGCAGCUCAAUGCUGCCAGUUUUGUAACAAAAAUACCAACCUCCGGAGGUCGGAAUCUCAAAAAUAAGAAAUAAAAAUGCCAACCUCCAGAGGUCGAAAUCUCAAAAUAAGAAAUAAAAAUACCGACCUCUAGAGGUGGGAAUCUAAAAGAUAAGAAAUAAAA